CCUACGGGAGGCAGCAGUCGAGAAUCAUUCACAAUGGGGGAAACCCUGAUGGUGCGACGCCGCGUGGGGGAAUGAAGGUCUUCGGAUUGUAAACCCCUGUCAUGUGGGAGCAAAUUAAAAAGAUAGUACCACAAGAGGAAGAGCCGGCUAACUCUGUGCCAGCAGCCGCGGUAAUACAGAGGUCUCAAGCGUUGUUCGGAAUCACUGGGCGUAAAGCGUGCGUAGGCUGUUUCGUAAGUCGUGUGUGAAAGGCGCGGGCUCAACCCGCGGACGGCACAUGAUACUGCGAGACUAGAGUAAGGGAGGGGGAACCGGAAUUCUCGGUGUAGCAGUGAAAUGCGUAGAUAUCGAGAGGAACAUUCGUGGCGAAGGCGGGUUCCUGGACAUUAACUGACGCUGAGGCACGAAGGCCAGGGGAGCGAAAGGGAUUAGAUACCCGAGUAGUC
rnacentral:rRNA from 1 species